GUCGGAGUGACCGAGUGGACUAAGGUACCAGACUGAAGAGUGUUCUUCUGGGUGUUCUGGUCCACGAUGUGGGUGUGGGUUUGAAUCCCACCUCCGACA
rnacentral:tRNA from 1 species